UCUCUCCCAGCAGAGGAGAUUGAGCGCGCGGUCAUCGCAGGUGUACGAGCUGCACUUCAAAGUGCACUUCCAACGCAACCACUCACACCAUUAACGGUCUCCGGACUACAGACUAACUCGCAGGUUCUUCCAGCAGUGCCCAGAGGCGCGGUGACCCAGUUUUCAACCGCAGUCACGGCACAAAGAUCAACUCCUCUGCCAUCUAUCCCUCGACGAAAUAGGGCUUCAUCAAGCUACUUUAGACGAAGACACGUA